rnacentral:rRNA from 1 species
CCUACGGGCGGCAGCAGUGAGGAAUAUUGGUCAAUGGACGAGAGUCUGAACCAGCCAAGUAGCGUGAAGGAUGACUGCCCUAUGGGUUGUAAACUUCUUUUAUAUGGGAAUAAAAUGUUCCACGUGUGGGAUUUUGUAUGUACCAUAUGAAUAAGGAUCGGCUAACUCCGUGCCAGCAGCCGCGGUAAUACGGAGGAUCCGAGCGUUAUCCGGAUUUAUUGGGUUUAAAGGGAGCGUAGGUGGAUUGUUAAGUCAGUUGUGAAAGUUUGCGGCUCAACCGUAAAAUUGCAGUUGAAACUGGCAGUCUUGAGUACAGUAGAGGUGGGCGGAAUUCGUGGUGUAGCGGUGAAAUGCUUAGAUAUCACGAAGAACUCCGAUUGCGAAGGCAGCUCACUGGACUGCAACUGACACUGAGGAGCGAAAGCGUGGGUAGCAAACAGGAUUAGAUACCCGUGUAGUC